rnacentral:lncRNA from 1 species
CCCAAGCUGCUGAAAACCUAGUCCUUGGAGAGAAUCCGAGGGGUGGCCCAGCUGCUGUCAUGCAGUCGGCAGCUACGUACAACGAGCGCUUUGGCCUUGUUGGCCACCUUGACUCCACUAAAGUCGCCCGAGAGGAAGGCGUCACCGUUACUGAAACAAUUAAUCCCGAUGGCAACCGGGUUGUCACUGAAAAAGUUGCUGGACAGGUAUAUAUUUUUCUAUUUCAAUUUGUAUUAUUGUUACAAGUUAUUUUCGUUUGUUCUAGUUCCAACGUAAAACCGUAUUGGUUACAUAGAAAGGAGUCUUACUUCGUAAGCACAUAAAGAGCACAUGUCACACGUCAUUUUAUAUGUAUCACGAACAAACAUGCAUGUUGCGGGAUUCUCAUAUAUAAUAGUAGAAGUUAACCUGCUCUGAUACGAUAAUCACAAAAAGUCGAGUAUUAAGAUUAACUCAACUCUUUUUGUAUAUCUAAUUGUCGAUAUAAAACUAAUUAGGGAUAUUGACAAUAACUAAAAUUCUUUAUAAGUACAUGUAAUUUCUCUAAUUUCCCAUCGGAUCUCAACAGAUAAGUUAGCAAUUUUUUCUUUAACUUUGUACAUAUGUUAUCUUCAGAUAUUUUACAUGUUGUGUUUAUUUUCUGUCUCACACUAUAUUUUAAGAAUAUAAGAAUUGGAACAUCUAAUUGAUAGUGAACGUUGUUGGCUUCAAAAAACAAAGUGAGCGCUUAUGUAUAUGUAUAUGACUGUAUGUAUUGGUUACCUUCGUUUGAAGGUUGUGGCCCAAUAUGUGGAGCCACCGGUGCCAAUGGCAUCUCCAGGAGGAGCGCUUGAUCGAGAUGCUAUUACAAUUGGUGAAACGCUGGAGGCCAGUGCUCUGACGGCAGGAGACAAACCAAUUGAACAAAGCGACGCCGCUGCAAUACAAGCUGCUGAAAUGAGAGCCACUGGACGCAAUGAGAUAGCACCCGGAGGUGUGGCGGGUGUAGCUCAGUAUGCAGCCUCUGUUAACCCGCGCGACGUCAAUAAAACGAAACUUGGUGACGUGUUAGAGGUCUUAACCUCCAUGAAAGAAUCGCAAAAUUGAAGAACACAGAGAAGCUUAGAGGGAAGAAAGAAAGUAUUUCUGAGAAAAUCCCAACAGUUAUUACAACUCAAUUUUAUCUAAUACAAGGAAAAUAAUAUUCUAUAUGGUCAAUUCAACAUACAAUGGCUUAUAUCCUAAGCUACUGCUGAUAUGGCAGUUUUAAUGACCUGGCACAUAUUCAAUACACCUGGGCAUAUAUAUCCAAUACUCCCCCUCAAUCUUAGCUGGGAUAGGCCAGCUUAAGAUUGAAACAAUGAUGAAGAAAAGCUGGACCAUGAAGACCUUUUGUGAGAACAUCAGCAACCUGGUCUUUUGUUGAAACAUAUUGAAUCACCAAGUCUCCUUUUUAUAUCCAAUAAGAGGUACAAAUUAACAUUUAAUUUGGUACAUCAGUAAUUGUUAGAAUUAGAAGAAAAUGUAGUACAACAAUGAAGGAUAUGCUGCAAUGACUAUAGAGAGAGAGAAAAAAUGAAAGCAGAGAAUAUGACUCUGCAAUUCUUCACACACGCACUGUUUGAUUGCUCACUUGUGAGAGAGGAACAUCUCUCUACACUUAACAGUUACACUUCCAAACUUUUGGCAGUAUUCAAAAUUACAUCCAAGUAAUCCUAGCCAUCCAUCUUACACCCUAUAAGAUGAAGACACAUGUACACUCACUUAUUUAAGAACUAUGAGACUUAGAUAAGAAAGUAUACAACAUAUUUAGCUAAUCAUCCUAGCAAUAUAAGCUAGAAAUACAACUACCACAUCAGAUCACAAUUUACACACUAACAGCCCCCUUUAAAUUGUGAACUGAUUUAACUCCAAGCAGUUCCCUCAGAUAACUGAAUUGUUCUCUUGCCAAUGCCUUUGUAAAGAUAUCAGCAAUUUGCUCUUUCAUAGGACAAUGCAACAGCUCAAUUACUCCUUGCUGCAAUGCUUCCUUUAUGAAAUGGUAUCUCCUGUUGAUGUGCUUGGUCUUCUGAUGAAAAAUAGGGUUUUUAGUGAUAGCUAUGGCUGAAGUAUUAUCACAAUUCAUUGGUGUUGCAACUGUUUGCAUUUCACCAAAGUCCUCCAAAACAAAUCUCAGCCAUGUAGCCUGUGCAGUUGCUUCAGAUGCACUAAUGUACUCUGCUUCAGCUGUUGAUAAUGCAACACAUUGUUGCUUGACUGAAGACCAAGAGAAAACUCCACUGCCAAAGGUAAAUGCAUACCCCGAUGUACUUUUCAUAUCAUCUUCUGAACCGCUCCAGUCACUGUCACAAAAUCCCAUUAAGAUUGCUCCUUUGCCUUUCUUGUAUUCCAAGCCAAAAUCAAGAGUCCCUUGAACAUAUCUUAGUACUCUCUUUGCUGUCCCAAGGUGCUUGUUGGUUGGACAGUGCAUAAACCGUGAUAGCAGACAUGCAUCAUACAUUAUAUCAGGUCUAGUUGCUGUGAGAUACAACAAACUGCCUACAAUUUGUCUAUAUUGAGCUUCAUCCGCAGUUCCACUUCCAUCCUUUUUUCUCAAUUUAUCACUUGGAACCAAUGGAAUACUCACUGACUUACAGUCUUGAAGUCCAAAUUUCUUCAGUAGAGAAUAAGCAUAUUUUCUCUGAUGAAUGAAAAUAUACUCCUCAGUUUGCAUUACUCCCAUACCAAGAAAGUGAUGUAAGAGUCCAAGAUCAGUCAUUUCAUAUUUGAGCAUCAUAUCAGAUUUAAAAUCAUCCAUCAAUUCCUGACAACUUCCAGUGUAUAUUAUGUCAUCAACAUAGAUAUACACUAUAAUCAUUUCUGAACUUUUCCUCCACUUGGUAUACAGAGUUGCUUCACUAGUGCUUUUCUUAAACCCACAGAGUGUAAGAUAUGAGUCUAUUUCACCAUACCAGGCCCUUGGUGCCUGCUUCAGACCAUACAGUGCUUUAUGUAACCUGUAGACCUUAUCUUCUUCCCCUUGUACAAUAAAUCCAUCCGGCUGAUCAACAUACACUUCUUCUUCUAGUACCCCAUUCAAGAAUGCCGAUUUUACAUCCAAUUGAAACAACUUCCAUUUGUUCUUUGCUGCCAGGGCAAUUAAUGUUCUGAUUGUAUCCAACCUUGCCACAGGUGCAAAGGUUUCAUUAUAAUCAAUUCCGGGCUUUUAUGCAUAGCCUUUUGCAACAAGCCUAGCCUUGUUCUUUUGAACUGAUCCAUCCAAAUUCAAUUUAGUUUUGUACACCCAUUUCACACCAAUUACAGGUUUAUCAGAUGGUCUUUUCACUAAUUCCCAAGUCUUAUUUUUCUCAAUCAUGCUGAUUUCAUCUUUCAUAGCUUUCUUCCAUGCUUCAUCCUGUGCAGCUUCAUAAUAGGAUUCUGGUUCAACAAUACACACAUGACAUCUUUCAUAGAUUUCACUCAAACUUCUAUAUCUCAAGGGAGUAUGAUCAAUCUGAGAUGCAGAAAUUAAGUCACUAGCACUUCCAGAUUCAAUGAGUGGAGAAUAUGUAAGUUGAGUCUGAGAACCUUCAGCAACAGCUUGUUCCAUGGAAUCCGAAUCCUCAUCAGCUUCUUUCAUCUCUGAAGAUUCACUUGCAGUAAUUGGAAUGUACACUUCUUUGAUCUUCUGUCUAUCCCAAUCCCAUGUACCAUUCUCAUCAAAAAUAACAUCUCUUGAAAUGAUUACUCUCUGAUUUUCAGGAUUAAGCAAUCUGUACCCCUUUUCACAAGUGCCAUAUCCAAUGAAAAUACCAAUGACACUUGUUCCAUCCAGCUUCUGUCUCAGGUUUCCAGGAAUAAGGGAAUAACCUAAUGAGCCAAACACUCUCAAGUGUUGAAUUCCAGGUUUUCUUCCACUGAAUUUCUCAAAAGGUGUCACAUUUUCCAAUGCUUUUGUAGGACAUCUAUUGAGCAAGUAAACAGAUGUAACUACAGCUUCACCCCAAAGAUUAUAAGGAAGACUUUUCUCAUGAAGCAUACACUUUGCCAUCUCCACUAUAGUUCUAUUUUUUCUCUCUGCAACUCCAUUCUGUUGUGGAGAGUAUGCAACAGUAAGCUGCCUCUCCAAACCCAAAUCUUCACAAAACUGUUCAAAUUCAUUUGAGGUAAAUUCUCCUCCUCUAUCUGUUCUCAAUUUCUUCACUGAAAAACCACUUUGAAGUUCCACCAUAGCUUUGAAUUUCUUGAAUACAUGAAAGACAUCUGACUUGUGUCUCAAGAGAUAUAUCCAGCACAUCCUCGAAUAGUCAUCAAUGAAUGUAACAAAGUAUCGAUUUCCACUCAUGGUUGGUGUUUGCAUAGGGCCACACACAUCUGAGUGUAUAAGUUCCAAUGGCAUUCUUGCUCUCCAGAUUGACUCCCUUGGAAAUGACACUCUAUGAUUCUUACCAAAUGCACAUCCUUGACAUACACCUUCACUGUCAUGCAUUUCAGGUAACCCAAGAACCAUAUCAUGCUCCUGCAAUUGUUGCAAACUUCUAAAAUUCAGGUGGCCAAACCGUUUAUGCCACAUUGUACUACUCUGAUGCACAUUGGUUUUCAGUACCAAAUGAUCGUUUGACUUGAACACAAGUGGAAAGCAUCUGUUUCCCUUUUGUUUCACACUAACCACUAAAUUUGUCAAGGUUCUAUCAUAAAAAAUAUCCACCUUAUAAUCACCAAAUAACAGAAAAUACCCAUGUUCAGUCAUCUGCCCAACACUGAGAAGGUUUUCUGCAAUUCCAGGUACCAACAUAACUUCUCUUAUGUACCUUUUUCCUUUAUCCGUGUCAAUGACCAAGGUUCCUUUGCCUUUCACAUCAACAAGAACCCCUGUGCCAACUUGCACUUUUGCCUUAAUACUUCUAUCAAUUUCCACAAGUAACUCCUCUCUGGAAGUCAUGUGAUUACUGCACGCACUGUCAAUAUACCAGGCAUCACUCACAGCUUUCACUUCAGUUGAUUGCUUGACCAUGAAGAGAUUUCCAGGUUCUCCCACCUUGUUUGUAAAGUUCCUUUGCUCUCCCACUUUGUUUGCAAAAUUCCCUUGCUGAGCAUUUUUGUUUUGAUUGCAGAUCCUAGCAAUAUGACCAGGUUUUCCACACUUGUGACAUUUAAUCUUCCCUUUUAGCCAACAUUCACCAUAGUGAAGUUUAUCACAGUAUUUGCAUGCCCCUCCAGUGUUGUUAGCUUCAUUUCUUACACUUGGAGUAAACCUGUUAGUCCACUGCUUCCCUUUGAACUUGAAGUUCUUCUGAUAUUUUGAUCCACCAGUAUUGGUAUGUUGAUUACCAAAUUUAUUAUUCUUAGAUGAGAUAUCUAAGCUAGCAAAUGCACGUUCUGUGCUACUCUCUUCAUGUCUGAUUAAUCUUAGUUCAAACCCUUUCAAUAUGGCAACCACAUCUUGUGCAUCAAUUACAUCAAUAUCUUUAGUAUUUUCUAUAACAGAAGCAAUGCUAUCAUAUGUUUUGGGUAAACUGAUCAAUAACUUUUGCACAAUUCUCUGAUUACUAAGAUCUUCUCCAUAGCUUCGCAUCUGAUUUAUCAGAUCAAACAACCUAGCUAAAUAUGCAGCUAGAGAUUCACUUUCACUCAUACGGGUAUAUUCAAAAUCACGACGCAGACCUUGUAAUUUCACAGAUCGUACCUGUUUGUCCCCUACAUACUCUUGCUUCAGAAUAUCCCAAGCUUCUUUCGCAGUUUCCAAGGUUGCAAUGCGUGGAAAAAUUUGAUCCGAUACGGCUCCCUGAAUGAUUCCAAGAGCCCUUGCAUCCUUGACCAGAUUUUCACUCCGCAACUUCGUUUCCACCUCAGUGAGUUCUCCUUCCUCUUUCGCUGAAGUGGUAAAACCUUUUUCAACAAUAUUCCAUAACUCGUGAGAUCGGAAGAUUGUUUUCAUUCGAAUCUGCCAGAAAUCGAAAUUUUCUCCGUUGAACAUCGGAGCUCGAAGCUCCCCUCCACCAGAUCCAGCCAUGUUAGACUUAGAUCACACCUCUCUCUACUAUUUUCUUUGCAACAAUGUGUUGCAAACACUUGCUCACUAUCUCUCACAGAAUCGACGCCCAGAGAUUCAGACCCAACCAGGCUCUGAGGCCAUGUUAGAAUUAGAAGAAAAUGUAGUACAACAAUGAAGGAUAUGCUGCAAUGACUAUAGAGAGAGAGAGAAAGAAUGAAAGCAGAGAAUAUGACUCUGCAAUUCUUCACACACGCACUGUUUGAUUGCUCACUUGUGAGAGAGGAACAUCUCUCUACACUUAACAGUUACACUUCCAAACUUUUGGCAGUAUUCAAAAUUACAUCCAAGUAAUCCUAGCCAUCCAUCUUACACCCUAUGAGAUGAAGACACAUGUACACUCACUUAUUUAAGAACUAUGAGACUUAGAUAAGAAAGCAUACAACAUAUUUAGCUAAUCAUCCUAGCAAUAUAAGCUAGAAAUACAACUACCACAUCAGAUCACAAUUUACACACUAACAGUAAUUAUGUUUAACAUUCUAGGGUGUUUAAUCAAUUUCGUUUUUCUUUUCGUGAAAAUAAUGCAGGAUGCAACUGAGAAGUUGCCUGCGGACAAACCUGUGACUAGAGAGGAUGCAAAGGCGGUGAUAGGAGCAGAGAUACGGAACAGUACAAAUAUGGCCACCACUCCAGCCGGAGUUGAUGAAUCGCAG